rnacentral:rRNA from 1 species
UACGUAGGUGGCAAGCGUUGUCCGGAUUUACUGGGCGUAAAGAGCGCGCAGGCGGUCGUACAAGUCGCGUGUGAAAGCCCCCGGCUCAACUGGGGAGGGUCACGCGAUACUGUUCGACUCGAAGGCAGGAGAGGGAAGCGGAAUUCCCGGUGUAGUGGUGAAAUGCGUAGAUAUCGGGAGGAACACCGGUGGCGAAGGCGGCUUCCUGGCCUGUUCUUGACGCUGAGGCGCGAAAGCUAGGGUAGCAAACGGG